rnacentral:rRNA from 1 species
GAUGAACGCUGGCGGCGUGCCUAAUACAUGCAAGUCGAGCGAACAGAUGAGGAGCUUGCUCCUCUGACGUUAGCGGCGGACGGGUGAGUAACACGUGGAUAACCUACCUAUAAGACUGGGAUAACUACGGGAAACCGGAGCUAAUACCGGAUAAUAUAUUGAACCGCAUGGUUCAAUAGUGAAAGACGGUUUUGCUGUCACUUAUAGAUGGAUCCGCGCCGCAUUAGCUAGUUGGUAAGGUAACGGCUUACCAAGGCAACGAUGCGUAGCCGACCUGAGAGGGUGAUCGGCCACACUGGAACUGAGCCACGGUCCAGACUCCUACGGGAGGCAGCAGUAGGGAAUCUUCCGCAAUGGGCGAAAGCCUGACGGAGCAACGCCGCGUGAGUGAUGAAGGUCUUCGGAUCGUAAAACUCUGUUAUUAGGGAAGAACAAAUGUGUAAGUAACUAUGCACGUCUUGACGGUACCUAAUCAGAAAGCCACGGCUAACUACGUG